rnacentral:misc_RNA from 1 species
GCCAAAAGAAAUGUAAACACUAGCAGCAAACAAUUAGCGAGAACUCAAGAGAAAUUUAACAAAUUCUAAUUAAUUCACAAAUUAUUAAAUAAAAAAUAUGUCUAAAGUAAAUAAAACCGCGCUAAAUUUAAAACAGUUUAUGCUGCGCCAAGAGGUCUUGAAAUUAUAUCGUGAUAUAUUUCGCACUAUACGUUUAGUACCCGAUGCCAAUAGUCAACAGGAAUUGCGCACCUGGGCUAGACAAGAUUUUCGUGUUAAUCAACAGCAAACCGAUGAGGUGGCCAUUAAAAUGUUACUACAAUACGGUAGACGUAGUUUAAAUGAAUUACGACAAAGUCUACAUUUAAGUGGUGUUUGUAAUGAGGAUAAGAAAUGAUACGCUGAAUGGAUGAAUGAAGGCAGGACAAUGAAGGAAAGAAACUACAAGUGCUGACAUUUGAUUUAAUAUAAUUGCUUUGGUUUUUUUUUUGUUAUAUUUUAUUUCGUUAAUAUAAUUCGUUUUUUAUUAAAAACUAUUUUAAGGCUACAAAAACUCCAAGCAGUUUUAUAAUUAAAACUAAACCAUAGGCAUGUUUUACCGAGGAAGUGUGAAGAGGUGAUUAUGUAUAAACUAAAUUACAACCUUUUGAAGUGUAUAUUAAAAUAAUGCUCAAAUAUUGGAGUAUUAAAUGAUCUGGAUUAACA